rnacentral:rRNA from 1 species
GAUGAACGCUGGCGGCGUGCUUAACACAUGCAAGUCGAACGAUGAAGCUCAGCUUGCUGGGUGGAUUAGUGGCGAACGGGUGAGUAACACGUGAGUAACCUGCCCUUAACUCUGGGAUAAGCCUGGGAAACUAGGUCUAAUACCGGAUAGGAGCGCCUACCGCAUGGUGGGUGUUGGAAAGAUUUAUCGGUUUUGGAUGGACUCGCGGCCUAUCAGCUUGUUGGUGAGGUAAUGGCUCACCAAGGCGACGACGGGUAGCCGGCCUGAGAGGGUGACCGGCCACACUGGGACUGAGACACGGCCCAGACUCCUACGAGAGGCAGCAGUGGGGAAUAUUGCACAAUGGGCGAAAGCCUGAUGCAGCGACGCCGCGUGAGGGAUGACGGCCUUCGGGUUGUAAACCUCUUUCAGUAGGGAAGAAGCGAAAGUGACGGUACCUGCAGAAGAAGCACCGGCUAACUACGUG